CAGUGAUCUUAGCCAAUUAGCCACGUGUGGAUGCAUGCGUGAGUUGAGAAGAUUGUGUUUGUUUAUGGUGUCAAGGAUGAGAACAUAUUUCUUGUGUUGAAAACAUCGAACUCGAAUACUGUGCAGCACCGAAUUAUAGGAGAAUGAAACAAAUAUAUGAGGCUAUUCUGCAGAAGAAAAAUCGUAGAGCAAAAUGGUUACAAGUGUUGGGAGAAACAAGUGCUUAUUUGAGCCACUGAAAUGAUUAGGCCUACUGAUGAAACAUUUGAACAGCAAAGGAUGCCAUGCAGCAGAAGUGAAGAGUGGAUUGUAAAUCUGCUGUUGCAAAACAAGACUAGAAACAGAGGCUGCUGAUGAAGAAAUGGGUUAUUCUGAUGGAAAAGAAAAUUCGUGCCUGACAGAACACACUCUUAACUUGUUCUUCACGUUUUGAAGCAAAAUUUAUGUAUGAAGUGAAUGACAGAAGGUGACUGUAUUAUUUUCCAAGUCACCUGCAAAAGAAAGGGGGAAGAACUGUGCAGAAAUGACCACAUACAGACAGUGUCGAACAAAAGAUUAUAGAGAAUUAAAGCCAGUCUCAUUAUGUCAACAGCAUUGUGAACAGCAAAUGUAUCUUGUAAGCAAAUAUUUGUCUCCUUGUAAGUGAUUAUGAAUGUCUGUCACAUUUCAAUACUGAAAUAUUUUUAUGUUUACAGAAUGGAUCAAAGCAUUAACAACCAAGACGUUCACUCAUUUAAUGUAUUUACAGUUAUUAUAGAUAUUGGGCUGUAUUAUUAAUUUGUAGUUUGAAAUUGAGUGUCAACGUUUGUUCUCUUUUUUUCUGUGGUAAUGUACAUGAAACUACUUGGUUUUGAGAGAGCUUACUGUCCCUAUUACAAAGCAUUUAUACUGAUAUUGAAAAUAAAUCUUUUGUUGUGUUAAAGUGUUAUAAAUUAUGAACCAUCAACUCUUUCAAAU